GGAGAGAUGCCAGAGUGGUUUAAUGGAACGGCCUGGAAAGCCGUGGCGCGUAAGUGUCUCGUGGGUUCGAAUCCCACUCUCUCCGCCA
rnacentral:tRNA from 1 species